GCUUGCUCUGGUUGAUCAGUGGCGAACGGGUGAGUAACACGUGAGUAACCUGCCCUUGACUCUGGGAUAACUCCGGGAAACCGGGGCUAAUACCGGAUACGAGACGCGACCGCAUGGUCGGCGUCUGGAAAGUUUUUCGGUCAAGGAUGGACUCGCGGCCUAUCAGCUUGUUGGUGAGGUAAUGGCUCACCAAGGCGUCGACGGGUAGCCGGCCUGAGAGGGCGACCGGCCACACUGGGACUGAGACACGGCCCAGACUCCUACGGGAGGCAGCAGUGGGGAAUAUUGCACAAUGGGCGAAAGCCUGAUGCAGCGACGCCGCGUGAGGGAUGAAGGCCUUCGGGUUGUAAACCUCUUUCAGUAGGGAAGAAGCGAAAGUGACGGUACCUGCAGAAGAAGCGCCGGCUAACUACGUGCCAGCAGCCGCGGUAAUACGUAGGGCGCAAGCGUUGUCCGGAAUUAUUGGGCGUAAAGAGCUCGUAGGCGGUUUGUCGCGUCUGGUGUGAAAACUCAAGGCUCAACCUUGAGCUUGCAUCGGGUACGGGCAGACUAGAGUGUGGUAGGGGUGACUGGAAUUCCUGGUGUAGCGGUGGAAUGCGCAGAUAUCAGGAGGAACACCGAUGGCGAAGGCAGGUCACUGGGCCACUACUGACGCUGAGGAGCG
rnacentral:rRNA from 1 species